rnacentral:lncRNA from 1 species
CCCCCCUGUUCUCCUUCCCUCACUUCUCUCUCUCACAACACUCCUCAAAUCACCACAGUUCAGACCCACCCCCACGAAGGUCAGCGCCGCCGCCGGAGCUUCCCAAGCUCAGCCUCCCCCGCCCUGACUCGACUCAAGCACACGCACACAGUUCACAACAGCACCAGUCUAUCUCUCCCUCCAUCAUUUCUUUCUUUCUUACAUCAGUGAAUGCAAGGUUCCAGUUUAGAUCAGUUUUAGUUCUUCUAAAAGUAAAAGUUUGCAUCUUGU